rnacentral:rRNA from 1 species
GUGCCAGCCGCCGCGGUAAUACGUAGGUGGCAAGCGUUGUCCGGAUUUACUGGGCGUAAAGGGCGUGCAGGCGGUCUGUUAAGUGCAGGGUGAAAGCUCCCGGCUCAACUGGGAGAGGUCCUUGCAUACUGGCGGACUUGAGGGGGGUAGAGGAAAGUGGAAUUCCCGGUGUAGUGGUGAUAUGCGUAGAUAUCGGGAGGAACACCUGUGGCGAAGGCGGCUUUCUGGGCCCUACCUGACGCUGAGACGCGAAAGCGUGGGGAGCGAACCGGAUUAGAAACCCUUGUAGUCC